rnacentral:rRNA from 1 species
CCUACGGGCGGCUGCAGUGGGGAAUAUUGCACAAUGGGCGCAAGCCUGAUGCAGCCAUGCCGCGUGUGUGAAGAAGGCCUUCGGGUUGUAAAGCACUUUCGGCGGGGAGGAAGGCGUUAAGGUUAAUAACCUUGUCGAUUGACGUUACCCGCAGAAGAAGCACCGGCUAACUCCGUGCCAGCAGCCGCGGUAAUACGGAGGGUGCAAGCGUUAAUCGGAAUUACUGGGCGUAAAGCGCACGCAGGCGGUCUGUCAAGUCGGAUGUGAAAUCCCCGGGCUCAACCUGGGAACUGCACUCGAAACCGGCAGGCUAGAGUCUUGUAGAGGGGGGUAGAAUUCCAGGUGUAGCGGUGAAAUGCGUAGAGAUCUGGAGGAAUACCGGUGGCGAAGGCGGCCCCCUGGACAAAGACUGACGCUCAGGUGCGAAAGCGUGGGGAGCAAACAGGAUUAGAUACCCUUGUAGUC